rnacentral:rRNA from 1 species
GUUCGAUCUCAAAUCAGGUAGGACU